AUGAAAUCAGGACCGGGAGGGGCGUGUUGUGCGUGCAAGGGUGUGUGCGUGUGUGUGCGUGUGUGUGUGUGGGGAGGGGGCAGAGAAAUGCAGUUUCCCCGAAAGAAUAGGGAGCCCUGGAUCGGAUUCUUGGAUACAGAGCCCCCAGUAAUGCUGUCAAAGCCCUUCCUCGUGGCUCCUCGCAGCCUCCGGCUGCCCCGUACCCUGGCCACCUUGCUGAGAAGCGGCGACCCGAGUAGAAGUGGAGGCGGGGAAACUUCCUACUUCCCACGACGGCCGUUUCGUACCAGGGGGAGUGGACCGGCUGCGCGGCCCUGCGAGCCUGCCGGCGUCUCGACAGCGGCAGCUGCGGACCCGUGGCUCUUCCCUUCCCCCUCUUUCCGCCAGGCUGGCCAAGCCCGAGGCGGCCGGGAGCGGCCGGGGUGGGGGGGGAGAAGGGCGGGGAGCUCCCGGCUUGCACCCUUUCAUCCCGACCCCGGCCGGGAUCCCGGCUCCGGGUGUUGCUUCCACCCGCGUGCGAGCGAGCCGGAGAGGCGGGGGGGCGGAGCCUCGCGCGGGGGGCGGAGCCCGGGCGGGGGCGGGCGCUCGGUCCGCGCGGCUGCGGAGCCCGCCAUUGGCCGGCCGCGCCGUCACGGGGUGGGGGCGGGCGCCGAGGCGCGCACCGGCCCCGCCCCCGCCCGGAGCCCGGCCCGGGCUCGCGGUCCCCCCCAGCUGCACAGACAUGACACAGACACACAGUCACUGCAGCUGCUGAGCGAGCCCGGCGCUCUGGGCACGCGGCGGCGGGGCCAGCCCGGAGCCCGGACCCCAGCGCCCGCCCGCUCGCCCCCCCCCCCAACGCCGGCCUCCGCGCGGCGGCCCCCGCCUGGCCGGGCGCGGGAGGCGGGGAUCGCGCGCCGGCUCCGGCCAGCGGCGCCCGGCUGCCCGCGGCGGCUGCAGCGGCCGCCCAGCUCCGAGCGCCGGGCGCUCGGGGAAGCCGGCGCGGCGCGUCUCGGAGGCGGCGGCGACCGAGGCCGGCGAGCGCUCCCGGCGGCAGCGGGGCCGCCCGCCGCGGCUCCCCGCACCCACCGCGCUGCGCCCCGCCUCCGCUCCGGUGACCUUCCCGGGGCGCCGCCCCCGGCCCCGCGCCCCCGGCCCCGCGCCCCAGGCCGGGGCGAGGCCCUCUCCAGCGCCGCCUCCCCGCGGAGCCGCGGGCGGGCGGGCGGGCGGCGCAGGCCCGGGGGGAGGGGGCGCCGCGGCCGGCUCAGCCUCUCCGCCGCCGUGCUCGGCGCCCGGCCCGGUCGGACCGCCGCUGCCCCGCCGCCGCGCGGAGCCGGGGCGCCUGACGCUGGGGGCGCGGCCGCGCUCGCCUCGCGGGGCCGGGAGCGGGCAGGCCCUGCCCUGAAGGGGCGAAGCGGCGGGGAGCGCGGGGGGUGGAGCCGGCCCGGUGGCCGCCCCGCGGCUCUCCCCAGCGCCCCCUCCCCGGACCCAGCCCGAGGCCGACGCAGGCCCCUGCCCAUGCGGGGCGCCCCCGGCGGGGAGAGUCCUCGGGGCAGGGAGCAGCGCCAGGCAGCGGCGCCGGAGGGCGAGGAAGGAGGGACGGCGCUCAGCCGGGGCGGCCCGGACCCUCCCCGCCGCCCGUUGCCGCCGCGGGCCGCCCCCGAAGUCCGCGCUCGGCCCCGCCGCCUGAACUAG
rnacentral:lncRNA from 1 species